UAUAUUUUGGUGUAAGAUGCAUAAAAAUUUUUGAUAUUUUAGGAAAUAGUUUAAUUCUGUUAAAUAUAA
rnacentral:tRNA from 1 species